rnacentral:rRNA from 1 species
AGUGGCGAACGGGUGAGUAAUACGUAGGAAUCUACCCUUAAGACGGGGACAACCCAGGGAAACUUGGGCUAAUACCGGAUGCGAGUGUAUGAGAGUACAUUUAAAAGGAUGGUGAAAGCUAUCGCUUAGGGAUGAACCUGCGGUCUAUUAGCUAGUUGGUGGGGUAAGAGCUCACCGAGGCGAUGAUAGAUAGGCGGCCUUAACGGGUGGUCGCCCACACUGGGAUUGAGAUACGGCCCAGACUCCUACGGGAGGCAGCAGUCGAGAAUAGUCUGCAAUGGCCGGAAGGCUGAUAGUGCGACGCCGCGUGAACGAGGGAGCCCUUCGGGGUGUAAAGUUCUUUUCUAUACGAGCAGUGCUAUAUAUAUUCAAAGUAUAUAUAGAGGGAUAGUAGUAUAGGAAUAAGCAACGGCUAACUCCGUGCCAGCAGCCGCGGUAACACGGGGGUUGCGAGCGUUGUCCGGAAUUACUAGGCGUAAAGGGCAGGUAGGCGGAUCUACGAGUUUUUUGUUAAAGGCUACGGCUUAACUGUAGUAAGGCAGGAGAUACUGUAGGUCUGGAAUGCGGUAGGGGAAGACAGAAUUCCUGGUGUAGCGGUGGAAUGCGCAGAGGUCAGGAGGAAUACCGAAGGCGAAGGCAGUCUUCUAGGCCGUAAUUGACGCUUAACUGCGAAGGUGUGGGAUCAAACAGGAUUAGAUACCCUGGUAGUCCACACAGUAAACGAUAAUCACUAGAUGUCGGAUUCUAGAUGGAUUCGGUGUCGGAGCCAACGCGAUAAGUGAUUCGCCUGGGGAGUACGAUCGCAAGGUUGAAACUCAAAGGAAUUGACGGGGGCCCGCACAAGCGGUGGAGCAUGUGGUUUAAUUCGAGACAACGCGAAGAACCUUACCCGGUCUUGACAUCCGCGGGAGGCUUCAGAGAUGGAGCUGUGCCGGCGUAAGCUGGAGCCGUGAGACAGGUGCUGCAUGGCUGUCGUCAGCUCGUGUCGUGAGAUGUUGGGUUAAGUCCCGCAACGAGCGCAACCCUUGCCUUCAGUUACCAUCAUUAAGUUGGGGACUCUGGAGGGACCGCUGCGGUAACAACGCAGAGGAAGAUGGGGACGACGUCAAGUCAUCAUGGUCCUUAUGGCCGGGGCUACACACGUGCUACAAUGGCAGUUACAGAGGGAUGCGAUUCAGUAAUGAGGAGCGAAACCCAGAAAAGCUGCCGCAGUUCGGAUUGAGGUCUGCAACUCGGCCUCAUGAAGUCGGAAUCGCUAGUAAUCGCGCAACAUCAUGGCGCGGUGAAUACGUUCCCGGGCC